rnacentral:rRNA from 1 species
CUGAAACCGUGUACGUACAAGCAGUGGGAGCACCCUUCGGGGUGUGACUGCGUACCUUUUGUAUAAUGGGUCAGCGACUUAUAUUCUGUAGCAAGGUUAACCGAAUAGGGGAGCCGGAGGGAAACCGAGUCUUAAUUGGGCGUUAAGUUGCAGGGUAUAGACCCGAAACCCGGUGAUCUAGCCAUGGGCAGGUUGAAGGUUGGGUAACACUAACUGGAGGACCGAACCGACUAAUGUUGAAAAAUUAGCGGAUGACCUGUGGCUGGGGGUGAAAGGCCAAUCAAACCGGGAGAUAGCUGGUUCUCCCCGAAAGCUAUUUAGGUAGCGCCUCGUGAAUUCAUCUCCGGGGGUAGAGCACUGUUUCGGCUAGGGGGCCAUCCCGGCUUACCAACCCGAUGCAAACUGCGAAUACCGGAGAAUGUUAUCACGGGAGACACACGGCGGGUGCUAACGUCCGUCGUGAAGAGGGAAACAACCCAGACCGCCAGCUAAGGUCCCAAAGUCAUGGUUAAGUGGGAAACGAUGUGGGAAGGCCCAGACAGCCAGGAUGUUGGCUUAGAAGCAGCCAUCAUUUAAAGAAAGCGUAAUAGCUCACUGGUCGAGUCGGCCUGCGCGGAAGAUGUAACGGGGCUAAACCAU